GACGAAUCGAGCGAACGUUGUUCGGAAUCACUGGGCUUAAAGGGCGCGUAGGCGGGUGCUCAAGUCCGUGGUGAAAUCCUCCGGCUCAACCGGAGAACUGCCUCGGAUACUGGGUGCCUCGAGGGUGGUAGGGGUAUGCGGAACUAUCGGUGGAGCGGUGAAAUGCGUUGAUAUCGAUAGGAACUCCGGUGGCGAAGGCGGCAUACUGGACCACCUCUGACGCUGAGGCGCGAAAGCCAGGGGAGCAAACGGG
rnacentral:rRNA from 1 species